UACAGGGGGUGCAAACGUUGCUCGGAAUUAUUGGGCGUAAAGCGCACGUAGGCGGUUUGUUAUGUCGGAUGUGAAAGCCCUUGGCUCAACUGAGGAAGUGCAUCCGAAACUGGCAAGCUAGAGUAUGUAAGAGGGUCGCGGAAUUCCCGGUGUAGAGGUGAAAUUCGUAGAUAUCGGGAGGAACACCGGUGGCGAAGGCGGCGACCUGGGUAGAUACUGACGCUGAGGUGCGAAAGCGUGGGGAGCAAACAGG
rnacentral:rRNA from 1 species